rnacentral:rRNA from 1 species
CACGUAGGGGCCAAGCGUUGUCCGGAUUCAUUGGGCGUAAAGAGCUCGUAGGCGGUCCAGUCAGUCGAGUGUGAAAUCUCCGGGCUCAACCCGGAGGGGCCACCCGAUACUGCUGUGACUCGAGUCCGGUAGGGGAGUGGGGAAUUCCUGGUGUAGCGGUGAAAUGCGCAGAUAUCAGGAGGAACACCGGUGGCGAAGGCGGCGACCUGGGUCGAUACUGACGCUGAGGUGCGAAAGCGUGGGGAGCAAACAGG